rnacentral:rRNA from 1 species
GCUACGGGAGGCAGCAGUGAGGAAUAUUGGUCAAUGGACGAGAGUCUGAACCAGCCAAGUAGCGUGAAGGAUGACUGCCCUAUGGGUUGUAAACUUCUUUUAUAAAGGAAUAAAACGAGGCACGUGUGCCUUUUUGCAUGUACUUUAUGAAUAAGGAUCGGCUAACUCCGUGCCAGCAGCCGCGGUAAUACGGAGGAUCCGAGCGUUAUCCGGAUUUAUUGGGUUUAAAGGGAGCGUAGAUGGGUUGUUAAGUCAGUUGUGAAAGUUUGCGGCUCAACCGUAAAAUUGCAAUUGAUACUGGCAGUCUUGAGUACAGUAGAGGUAGGCGGAAUUCGUGGUGUAGCGGUGAAAUGCUUAGAUAUCACGAAGAACUCCGAUUGCGAAGGCAGCCUGCUGGACUGUAACUGACGCUGAUGCUCGAAAGUGUGGGUAUCAAACAGGAUUAGAUACCCUGGUAGUC